UACGUAGGGCGCAAGCGUUGUCCGGAAUCAUUGGGCGUAAAGCGCGUGUAGGCGGCUUGGUAAGUCCGUUCUGAAAGCCCGGGGCUCAACCCCGGGAGGCGGAUGGAUACUGUCAAGCUUGAGUCCGGAAGAGGCGAGUGGAAUUCCCGGUGUAGCGGUGAAAUGCGCAGAUAUCGGGAGGAACACCAAUGGCGAAGGCAGCUCGCUGGGACGUGACUGACGCUGAGACGCGAAAGCGUGGGGAGCAAACAGG
rnacentral:rRNA from 1 species